AAGCUGUUUGAGCAGCAUUUGUAUUAAAAUUGGAAUGAUACAGAGAAGAUUAACACGGCCUCCGGGCAAGGAUGCCAUGAAAAUCUGGGAAGUGUUCCAAUUUUUU
rfam:Myotis davidii contig36597, whole genome shotgun sequence.